AGGAUGAACGCUGGCUGCGUGCUUAACACAUGCAAGUCGAACGAUGAUGACCGGGCUUGCCUGGUCUGAUUAGUGGCGAACGGGUGAGUAACACGUGAGUAACCUGCCCCUCACUUCGGGAUAACCUCGGGAAAUCGUGGCUAAUACCGGAUAUGAACUUCUACCGCAUGGUGGUUGUUGGAAAGUUUUUCGGUGAGGGAUGGACUCGCGGCCUAUCAGUUUGUUGGUGAGGUAAUGGCUCACCAAGACGAUGACGGGUAGCCGGCCUGAGAGGGCGACCGGCCACACUGGGACUGAGACACGGCCCAGACUCCUACGGGAGGCAGCAGUGGGGAAUAUUGCACAAUGGGCGAAAGCCUGAUGCAGCGACGCAGCGUGGGGGAUGACUGCCUUCGGGUUGUAAACCUCUUUCAGUAGGGAAGAAGCGAAAGUGACGGUACCUGCAGAAGAAGCGCCGGCUAACUACGUGCCAGC
rnacentral:rRNA from 1 species